rnacentral:rRNA from 1 species
UACGAAGGGGGCGAGCGUUGUUCGGAUUUACUGGGCGUAAAGGGCGCGCAGGCGGCUCGUUUUGUCAGGCGUGAAAUCCCCGGGCUUAACCUGGGAAUUGCGUUUGAUACGGACGGGCUAGAGUUCGGGAGAGGAGAGUGGAAUUCCCAGUGUAGAGGUGAAAUUCGUAGAUAUUGGGAAGAACACCGGUGGCGAAGGCGGCUCUCUGGACCGAGACUGACGCUGAGGCGCGAAAGCGUGGGGAGCAAACGGG